CAGGGUCCCAAUUAACAACUGCUUAAAAUUACUGAAAAUUUGAGACAACUUUAAGUUGCUUUAGAGCACAUGGAGAUCGCUUUGAACUCAAAUGUGCACAAUGAGCUAUAUCGUUUAAAUUGCUGAAUUUAUUACAUUGGUUGGUUGUAUUGAUCUGAUGUGGGCAUAUUUUCAGAUCACCGGAGUGUGAAGGCGAUCCAAAGGAAGACGACUGGGACAGGCCAGAUGAGGUACCUCCGCAACGUACCUCGCAGAUUCAAGAGUAGUUUCAGAGAAGUUAUUUAACCGGGAACUUACUAAGUGGACCCGUGCCUGAUUGGAUUUUGCAAAAUGGAGAAAACAUUGAUCUUUCCUAGAACAACUUUAGCUCGUUGGGCCCAAGUUGUCAACAAAGGACUGCGUAAGAUUACUUUCAACUUAGAAUUAUUAUCAUUUCUCCAAAAUCUUCUCUGAACUUUUCUUUCUCUGUAUUUUUAUAUCGGAACUUAUUUGAAAGCUCUUCAAUGGGUAAUACAUCUGGUAUUGUGUCCUGCUUGAGAAGCUUUCAGUGCCCACAAAGUAAGUUAAAUUUUUUUUUUCCCUUUGCAUUGCUAUUUGAUUUGAUUUCUCUGGUCAUUUAUACUGUCGUGAACUAUAUAGAAAAGCUUUAAGUAGCAUAGGCACAGACAAGGGACACACAUGACAAAACAUGAAUAUGGCACAUGAAAAAUCCUAAAACAGUAAAAUACGGACACAGAAAGGACACAAAAAGUAUAAUAUAUAUUUAGAUAAUAUUAAAAUAAUAUAUAUUUUUAGAUAA